UACGUAGGUGACAAGCGUUGUCCGGAUUUACUGGGCGUAAAGAGCGCGCAGGCGGUCGAUCAAGUCGAGUGUGAAAGCCCACGGCUCAACCGUGGAGGGUCAUUGGAAACUGGGGGACUUGAGUGCAGAAGAGGAAAGCGGAAUUCCACGUGUAGCGGUGAAAUGCGUAGAGAUGUGGAGGAACACCAGUGGCGAAGGCGGCUUUCUGGUCUGUAACUGACGCUGAGGCGCGAAAGCGUGGGGAGCAAACAGG
rnacentral:rRNA from 1 species